rnacentral:rRNA from 1 species
UACAGAGGUCUCAAGCGUUGUUCGGAUUCAUUGGGCGUAAAGGGUGCGUAGGUGGCGCUGUAAGUCGGGUGUGAAAUUUCGGAGCUUAACUCCGAAACUGCAUUCGAUACUGCGGUGCUUGAGGACUGGAGAGGAGACUGGAAUUCAUGGUGUAGCAGUGAAAUGCGUAGAGAUCAUGAGGAACACCGGUGGCGAAGGCGGGUCUCUGGGCCGAUACUGACGCUGAGGAGCGAAAGCGUGGGGAGCAAACAGG